rnacentral:rRNA from 1 species
UACGUAGGUGACCAGCGUUGUCCGGAUUUACUGGGCGUAAAGAGCGCGCAGGCGGUCGUUCAAGUCGAGUGUGAAAGCCCCCGGCUCAACUGGGGAGGGUCAUUCGAUACUGAUCGACUCGAAGGCAGGAGAGGGAAGCGGAAUUCCCGGUGUAGUGGUGAAAUGCGCAGAUAUCAGGAGGAACACCGGUGGCGAAGGCGGGUCUCUGGGCCGAUAUUGACGCUGAGGAGCGAAAGCGUGGGGAGCAAACAGG